AAUAUUCUAAACAAAAACAAAAAUGAUUGAGUUUUAUGAAAUGCACAACCGGUCGGAGCAAAUGUGGAGGCGAGCGUGGAAAGCUCGUUUUUUAAAUGCACAACCGACCGGUUCACUACCAACUCAGUUGGUUUACCAGUUUUGAGGAAUACCGAUCAGUUUGGCCGGUUUCCACUGGAUCUGGUGCAUAUCCGAUACAACAAUCAUCUCAUACUGAUAAGGG
rnacentral:lncRNA from 1 species